rnacentral:lncRNA from 1 species
UGGCAGGACUUUGCAAUCAUUGUUCAAAGUCAGUGUUUGUAUUGAUGAUUUAGAUUUUUUGGAAUAAAAUUAAAGCUAGAACUCUUGACUGUUUUGUGAAAUUGGAAAAACAUCUACGGUUGAAUUUUUAGAGGUCUAGAUGGUUGAAUAUACCAAGUACAUGCUAAAAUUUGUAUUAAUCUAACGAUACGGAUAGAAGAUAUUUGAUCAUUAGUGUAAAGAGGUAUCAGAAGUCGGCAUAUUGGGGUUGUUUAGGAUUUUUAUAAUAUCUAGAG